UAGAGUUUGAUCCUGGCUCAGAUUGAACGCUGGCGGCAGGCCUAACACAUGCAAGUCGAGCGCGAAAGGCCUUCGGGCUGAGUAGAGCGGCGGACGGGUGAGUAACGCGUAGGAAUCUACCUGGUAGUGGGGGACAACAUGGUGAAAACCAUGCUAAUACCGCAUACGCCCUAUGGGGGAAAGCGGGGGACCUUCGGGCCUCGCGCUAUCAGAUGAGCCUGCGUAGGAUUAGCUUGUUGGUGAGGUAAAGGCUCACCAAGGCGACGAUCCUUAGCUGGUCUGAGAGGAUGAUCAGCCACACUGGAACUGAGACACGGUCCAGACUCCUACGGGAGGCAGCAGUGGGGAAUAUUGCGCAAUGGGCGAAAGCCUGACGCAGCCAUGCCGCGUGUGUGAAGAAGGCCUUCGGGUUGUAAAGCACUUUCAAUUGGGAAGAAAGGUUGCGUGUUAAUAGCACGUAGCUGUGACGUUACCUUUAGAAGAAGCACCGGCUAACUCCGUGCCAGCAGCCGCGGUAAUACGGAGGGUGCGAGCGUUAAUCGGAAUUACUGGGCGUAAAGCGCGCGUAGGCGGUUUGUUAAGUCGGAUGUGAAAUCCCCGGGCUCACCUGGGAAUGGCAUUCGAUACUGGCCGACUAGAGUACGAGAG
rnacentral:rRNA from 1 species